rnacentral:lncRNA from 1 species
CCACAAACUCUGCAGAAUAGGGUACAAUAAAAUGCAGAAAAGCUCUUAAACACAAGGCUGGAAAGAUGAAGGGUGCGUCUGGAUUCCAGCGGCAGCCAGUUUAGUUCUUUUAGCAUGUCACAAUGGUGGGUCAUGUAAUUACAUUGUAGCACAAAUCGGCAGAACAGGUUAUAAUGUUUUCAGUUUAUUAAUGUGGGAUUGCGGUGCUAGUGCAUAUACUACAUCCCCAUAAUCAAUGAAUGGCAUCAGCAUUUGCUGUACAAUCUUUUCCUUUAAUGUAGGGCUUAGGCAGGAUUUGUUUCUGUACAGGGCACCUAGUUUUGGAUAAAGUUUUGAUGAGAGUUUUUCUAUGUGUAGGCCAAAAGAUAGAUUGGGGAAUAGCAGCAUACAGGGCCGCCAUGAGGGGGUGACAACCAUAACGGUUGUCACGGGCCCGGGGGCCCGUCUGCCCGUCUGCCCGGGCCCCACGUGUAGCGGCGGAUCUGCCGCCGGUGCAGUUGCACCGGGCCCGCACACUGAUGGGUCUCAUCGGGUGGCCUACGCACAUAGGGCCGCCUGAUGGGCCCCAUAUCUCCAGGGGCCUGGUCAGCGCUCUGGGCGUGGUAUAGCGCGACCGGGCCCCUUUAAAAAAAAAAAAAAAACACAGCAGCACAAGUGCUUCUGGGAGGAAGGGGUCACUUCCUGCCAGCUCACUCCGCGCGGGAGGAGCGCGCACCCGGCAAUGAUGAGGGAGAGCCAGCCAACUCCCAGUCCCAUCAGCCCCAGCCAGCCACCCUCCUGCAAAGACAAGGUAAGAAACAGGAGGAUGGCUGGAAAAUGAGCUGUGUGUAUAUCUGUCUAUCUGUAUGCAUGUCAUUAUGUAUGUAUGGAUGUCAGUGUCUGUAUGAAUGUAUGUCUGUAUGUAUGUAUGUCUGUAUGUAUGUCUGUAUGCAUGUAUGUCUAACUGUAUGCAUGUCAUUAUGUGUGUAUGAAUGUCACUGUAUGUAUGUCUGUUUGUAUGAAUGUAUGUCUGUAUGUCAUGAAUGUGUGUAUGUAUGGAUGUCAGUGUCUGUAUGAAUGUAUGUAUGCCAGUAUGUAUGUAUGUCUGUAUGUAUGUAUGUAUGUCUAUCUGUAUGCAUGUCAUUAUGUGUAUAUGAAUGUCAGUGUAUGUAUGUCUGCAUGUCAUUAUGCCAGUAUGAAUGUCUGUCUGUAUGUUGUUGUGAAUGUGUCUGUGUCUGUAUGUCCUUAUGCAUGUGUGUCUGUAUGUAUGUUAGUAUGUGUCUGUCACCUUGUACGCCUGUGUGUCUGUAUAUGUGUGUAUGUCUCAGUAUAUGUGCGUAUCAGUAUGUGUGUCUGUUAGUAUGUAUCAGUGUAUGUGUGUGUAUAUCUGUGUCUUUUUGUAUCAGUGAAUGUGUUUGUGUCUGUGUGUGUAUUCCUGUGGGUGGGAUUUGGAGGCAGUCUCUGUUGGCGGUUUGGAGGCGGGCCCCCAGGGACCCAGACCCUGAGCUCAGUUAGGGGCCACCAAAAUUUCUGGUGGCGGCCCUGGCAGCAUAACUAAAUAUUUAAAAGAAUGGACUGCAAUCAGUGUGCUAUUUGAUUUUGUUUUGAUGCAUAAAUGGGAAUUUUGUAAUUUAGGUACUGUUCCAAAGAUCAUUGUGACAGUUUUGUCAGUGUUUAGGAAGAGCUUGUUUUUUGCGUUCCACUUUUCUACCUCUUCGAACUUGUCUUGGAGCUCAGCCUCAAGCUGUGGUAGAUUUGGUUUGCUUGCGUAGAUUGCUGUGUCGUCUGCAUACAUUUGAGGGUUUGCAGACAUUAGACAGAUCAUUUUUGAAUAAUGUAAUUAGUAAGCGAACAGAUGGGUUGAGGGCCCUGCUCAAUGAGCUUACAUGCUAGAUGGAGGUGGUAUAGUGACACAAAAGAUAAUGGUUGGGUAGAAAGGUAGGUUGCUAGGAUAGUAUCACUAACAGCUUGGUGUUUUGUUUUGAUGACAGUUGCCGGAGCAGAAUCAGGGUGCAGAGAGAGAAAGCUGUUCACAGCUUAAUUGAUUUGCUUUAUUGAAGAAGUACUGUAAGUUUUCAAAGAUUUUUUUAAAGAGAUUGGGUGAGAGGCUAUCAGAGAAGGGAAGGGCAUUCCAUAGGAAUGGUGCAGCCUUAGAGAAGUCUUUAAGGUGAGCAUCAGAAGUAGGAUUACGAACAGAGGUUAGACAUAGGUCUCCGGCAGAGCGUAGCGGCCUAGAUGGGACAUAUUUGUAUAUUAGUGAGGAUAAGUAGGUGGGAGCAGCAUUGUGUAGAGAUUUGUAAGCAAGUACCAGGAUCUUAAAUUGAGUCCUAUAUCUUAAGGGAAGCCAAUGUAGGGACUGACAUAGGGGGGAGUAGUGGGAGGUGCGGGCGGACAGCAAGAUGAGCCUCACCACCGCAUUCAUUAUAGACUGUAACUGGGGGAAGUUGGGAACAUGCAAGACCACUGAGAAGAGGAUUACAGUAGUCAAGGCGAGAGAGAACAGCGGCAUGGACAAGCACCUUAGCCGUAUCAGACUUUAAAUAUGAGCGGAGGCGUGCAAUGUUUUUGAGAUGGAGGCAGCAGGAUUUUGCGAUUGACUGGACAUGAGGGGUGAAGGAGAGGUCGGAGUCAAUACUUGAGUUUUUGCAGUAGAAUGUUGUGGUUUACUGUGUCAAAGGAAUUGGCAAAACCAAAACAAUAGCUCCAGUUAAGUCUCCUUGUUCCAUGCCAGUUUGGAUGUCAUUGCAAACUUUUAAGAGGGCAGUAGUAGUUGAGUGAUUUGGGCGAAAGCCUGAUUGAUCAGGGGUCAGAAGUUUGAUUGUUGGUAAUACUCACAUAGUUGUGUAUGAACACAUUUUUGCAAGAUUUUUGACAAUACUGGGAGCAAUGAUAUUGGGCGAUAGUUAUAAACCAAAGUAAUGUCACCACUUUUAUGGAUAGGCACUACUCUCGCAGUCUUCCAAAGUUUGGGUAUAUAUUCAGACACCAAGGAUUCGUUAAUUAGAGUUGCGUAGGGUUUAGCAAUUGCCGGCACACUGAGCUUCAACAGCAUUGCUGGGAUUUUAUCUGGUCACUAAUAAGCACUUUUUUAUUUCUUUUUCUCAAAGGCAGUGAAAAGAUCAAUUUUCUGGAUCCCACGGCCUUUAUCUCAUAGAAAGUUCCAUUUCCAUAUAUUAGCGAGAAAGUAUUAUGGCUCUAAUAGAUACACAUAUAUUAAUAUCAAACUCAUCACUGUCCUUUUGGGGAUAGGACUUAAACAGAAAAACUGGGGAUGGGAGUAAGUAUGUAUGCAUUCAUUUAUUUCAAUUGGGUUCCUGUCUAUUUGUGGUAGGGAGAAGCAACUACCCAUUGUUGUGCCGUCAGGAAUUAAGUAGAAGUGUGUGUAAAGUAUUUGCAGUUAUUUUAUGUGCAUACUGCCACCUAGUGAUCAGAGAAGAUUACUUCACUGCCUCUGGUUCCAACGUUAAUUUUUUUGGGCACAAACUGUUUAAUUUUAAUCUACAACAACAUAUUGAUCAAUCUGGGAUUGAAUAGGACUCCAUAGAUGCAUCCCAGAUCUCAUUCCAGUGUUCCUAUGUCCUUUUUAUUUAUUUUAAAAAAUUUUUUUUAACCAUGUUUGGGAGCCUCCAUAGAGCAAUGGAAGUAAUAGAGACUAAGUGAUAUACAAAGGGUAAUACACUAUCAGGACAACAUUAAAUCCACUGACAGGUGAAGUGAAUAAUAUUGAUUAUAUUGGUACAACGGCACCUGUCAAGGGCUGGGAUAUAUUAGGCAGCAAGUGAAGAAUCAGUUCUCAAAUUUCAUGUGUUGGAAGAUGGAAAAAUGGGCAAGCGAAAAGAUCCGAGUGACUUUGACAAAAGUCAAAUAGUGAUGGCUAGUGAUGGGUCAGAGAAUCUCCAAAACGACAAGCUUGUGGAUGUUCGUGG